UUGCAUAAAAGGAUGACAAUUUUCAUAACCCAAAACUGAAUUCAAACGCUGAAUGAAUUUAUUUUACAUGCAUCACCAACUGAAAUUUAAA